AACGUCCAACCAAAUUACUAAUCCUCUUUAAUAGAGAUUAGUGUCGAGCUUGGACUAAAUUAUUUUGCAAUGUAAUAUAAGACUUUGAUGUAUUUGAGGCACUCAAGGGACCUGUUGAAUGUUGUGACACUCUUU
rnacentral:snoRNA from 1 species